UGUAGCAAAAUUUCAGGUGACGUGAUAAGGUCACGGUGUACCUUGGGAGUAAUCUCGAACUACGUGACGUGACGUAA